AGGGUGUUUCUGCGAAAUGUUUUCAUGGUGUGGGAAUAAAACUUGGCGGUCUAAUACAGCUAAUACAUAGAUUAGCAUCACAGCUUGUCUGUAAGGAUUGAAGCUGGUAAUGGCCAUUUGGAGCUGACCUUUAUGGUAACUUUAACUGUGGCUGAGUGAUAUAACUGUAACAGUGAAGAAUGUUAUUCAGACAAUUUUUGUGUAUGUUUGAGAAAUUGUUAAUAAUUUUUUACAAAAAAAAAAAAUGUAAAGAUUCUCCAUUUUCAACAAGAUUGGAAGUAGAAUGUUAACUUGUAUUAAAAAUUUUUAAAAUCUUUUUUCCAUUUUAGCCUCAUGGCUGUACUCUGAUAGCUCUACUCAUGUCCAGAAUUGUCUUGACAUUUCUUUUUGUCAUGCUUAUGGAUACUGAACUGAUUUGUAUUGGUAUGUGUCUAGUCAAAACACUCCUAGUCCGUUAAGAACGGAGAAUCUAAAAAAAAAAAAAAAAAGGAAAAGAAAAGAAAAAGAAAAAAAUGUAAAUUUUAUUAUAAUGUAUUUUUUGUUUUAUUGAUUAUUGAUCGUUAGAUAUAUAUAUUUUUGCCAACUUUUUGGUUUUUUUAAUUUGAGUUUCUAAGGAAGAAUAAAAGUUUGUAAUAAUAUUUUGCAAGAAGUAUAGUUGAAGAAUAUCUUUGUGAAAAUAGAUUGAUUGAUUGAUUUUUGGUGUUUUUAACACCACUUUGAGCACUAUUGGCUAUAUCUUGAUGGCCAUUUUUUUUAUUGAGGAAGGAAGCUCCAGUUAUAUAAGAGAAUCACCGAUAUUUAAAAGGAAAACUCACAAUCCUCGUCAAUUAAGACCAGAGUCAAACCUACCGCUUGCCGGGUUCAAAAUCACAACUUAAGUAUUGACAGGCUACUGUUAUACUAGUUGAACUACUAAGAUCACUCAUGUCACCAAGAGGUGAAAAUUUAUGUACAAAAUGUACUUAAUAUAUUAUUGAAAUGUGUUGGAUUUUUGUUAUUAAAUUAUUUUUUAAUUUUACUAUUUUUUGUAUUGUUGUUAGAUAUAGCAAGGAUGUGGAGUCCUAACAGUGAAAUUUAGGUCAAAGGGAGGUAAUUUUUUAUACCCCGUUAAACUCCACAUACUUGAAGUUUCCUCAGUGUUAGGUUUUUAUUUACUUGGAUAUUCACGUCACGUUGUAUAAUUUAUUUUUAAUAUCAGAUGUAUACUACCGAAUAUCAAUUAUUAUUUAGAGCUCUGUAAUAAAAAAAAAAUAUGUAAGCAAAGCUCUAGAUUAUAGAUUUCUUGGGUGGGAGAAAUUGUUGGGUACAAAAACUGAUUUGGUGAAUUUUUUUCAAAAAAGUUAUUAGUUGAAAGUGCAUCUGAUAUUUUUUUUUUAUAUGUAACUGUAUUUAUAAGACAAACGAACAAAAAAUAGAUUGGCAAUAAAAUAAUGACAGCCACCCUCAGGGGUUCAAAUUAGUGUGGGUCCGAGGUCCGGGACCUGUCUUUUCUAGGAGAGGACUUUUCAUUUUUAAAUUACAAAAGUCAAGGACCUACCAUUCUUUACAUGAUGCUUGAUACACAACCAUUGAUUUCUUAUGGAGGACCCUUCACUUAAAAUUUCAAAUGGUUGUGGACCUUUCAUUAUUUAAAGAAAAUUUGAACCCCUGACCCUGGCAGCCAGGAACAGCUCCAUGGAAGAUGGUUAAAUGAAUCUUCAACCAAGUCUGAUGCCUUACCAAGAAAAU